rnacentral:rRNA from 1 species
GGGUCAGUAGGUUGGUCGUGCCACCGGUACGUACUGGUCUCACUGAUUCCUCAUUCCUGAAGAACCGUAAUGCCAUUAAUCUGGUGUUGCGGGGAAACAGGACUGUUACUUUGAAAAAAUUAGAGUGUUUAAAGCAAGCUAACGCUUGAAUACAUUAGCAUGGAAUAAUGAAAUAGGACGAUCGAUCCUAUUUUGUUGGUUUCUAGGAUUGGCGUA